GAAAGGGAAUAUAGACCCCUCUGCCCUAAUGAGAGGACUCACCCCAUAAGAGGGGCAUGUGGAAUGGGAGGUAUUAUGGCUGCCAUCUUUAGAAAUUACAAUUUGCCACAGGUUGGGUUCCCUAGAAGCAGAGGUUGAAAUAGGAGUUCUUUUGUGAGUUAAGGAAGAGGGAGAAGCUAAGCGAGGAUGUAGCUUCAGGUGAAGUCCAGCUUCAACCUGAUCUUGUAGGCAGCACUGGAUCUCACAUUGUCCGCAGCAUUUGUCCCUCCUUGAGGCAAAAAAGUGGGGCUUUUGUACACACAUAUCAGUCAACCCUUAGCUUAGGGAAGCCCCAGGGGAAGGGUUGUAACUCCCAGGUAUCUUGUAGACAGGCAACUCCUCUUGCUUAAAGGCAUUUCCCAGACAAGACUUGCUCUGUGAGCCUUUAAUAGCAGUUAAUAAAAAGAUCGCCAGAGAUCUGACUGGGACUGCAACAGCCUCAGCUACAUUAAGAUAUGGGGGCACUUUCAAGGCCUGUUUUAUAGAGACUAGCAGGUAAGGACCUGAGUUUCAAGGUGAGUCCAGGGAAUUAGUCCUUAGGAUGCGAGAUAGUGAAGGAUUGAGCAGAAGGUGUGUGCAUCUAAGGUGUCUAAUCCAAACAGGAUUUGGGGACCCAGUCAGAAGACACUUGGGGUUUAGGGCAGGAAGUCUACUUAUUGCCACGAGCAAAAAAGGAAAUACAUUGGUUCAUGAAAUGAGAAAGUCAAUGGACAGUGCUGACCCAGAUUGGAUCCAGGGCUCAAAGAGCAUCUCCAAGAGACCAUAUAAGAAUCACUAACAUGAGCUGCAUAUGCUGGAGGCCCCUCUGCUGUCAUUAUUUUAUGUGCUGGAAAACGCUGCAAUGGGAAGACAGCCCGGUCAGAUGGGGAUGGCCUGGAAUAGGAGCCAGGUUUCAUUUUUUAGAGACAGGUCUUGCUCUGUCACCAGGCUGAAGUGCAGUAAUCAUAGCUCACUGCAACCUCUGAACUCCCAGCCUGAAGCAUCCUCCCACCUCAGUCUCCCAACUAUCUGGGACUACAG